ACCUGCGGAGGACAUUACCGAGUGCGGGCCCUCGCGGCCCAACCUCCCACCCUUGUCUCUCUACACCUGUUGCUUUGGCGGGCCCACUGGGGCUCCCUGGUCGCCGGGGGACACCCGUCCCCGGGCCCGCGCCCGCCGAAGCGCUUCGUGAACCCUGAUGAAGAAGGGCUGUCUGAGUACUAUGAAAAUUGUCAAAACUUUCAACAAUGGAUCUCUUGGUUCCGGCAUCGAUGAAGAACGCAGCGAAAUGCGAUAAGUAAUGUGAAUUGCAGAAUUCCGUGAAUCAUCGAAUCUUUGAACGCACAUUGCGCCCCCUGGCAUUCCGGGGGGCAUGCCUGUCCGAGCGUCAUUUCUGCCCUCAAGCACGGCUUGUGUGUUGGGUGUGGUCCCCCCGGGGACCUGCCCGAAAGGCAGCGGCGACGUCCGUCUGGUCCUCGAGCGUAUGGGGCUCUGUCACUCGCUCGGGAAGGACCUGCGGGGGUUGGUCACCACCACAUUUUCCAUUAUGGUUGACCUCGGAUCAGGUAGGAGUUACCCGCUGAACUUAAGCAUAUCAAAAGCCGGAGGA
rnacentral:rRNA from 1 species